GAUGAACGCUGGCGGCGUGCCUAAUACAUGCAAGUCGAGCGAACAGACGAGGAGCUUGCUCCUCUGACGUUAGCGGCGGACGGGUGAGUAACACGUGGAUAACCUACCUAUAAGACUGGGAUAACUUCGGGAAACCGGAGCUAAUACCGGAUAACAUGUUGAACCGCAUGGUUCAACAGUGAAAGACGGUCUUGCUGUCACUUAUAGAUGGAUCCGCGCCGCAUUAGCUAGUUGGUAAGGUAACGGCUUACCAAGGCAACGAUGCGUAGACGACCUGAGAGGGUGAUCGGCCACACUGGAACUGAGACACGGUCCAGACUCCUACGGGAGGCAGCAGUAGGGAAUCUUACGCAAUGGGCGAAAGCCUGACGGAGCAACGCCGCGUGAGUGAAGAAGGUCUUCGGAUCGUAAAGCUCUGUUAUUAGGGAAGAACAAAUGUGUAAGUAACUAUGCACGUCUUGACGGUACCUAAUCAGAAAGCCACGGCUAACUACGUG
rnacentral:rRNA from 1 species